rnacentral:lncRNA from 1 species
GAGGCAGCAGAACCUGCCUCUGUGUUAGCCAAUGCCCUUCUCUCUGGCCUAGCUCAGGAAACCUCCCAUCGCAUGGUCCCAGCCCCUCUCAGUGCUUGGCAUGGUUUUGAGAGUCAUAUGUUUACAAUGGCAGAGCCACAAACAGCCUGGGAGCCAACCCGGACUCCCAACCUGGAAAAAUAAGCCAGAGGAAAAAAAGUUUUCGCGGUAGCAAGCUAUGACAUUCUGAGCCCAAUGUCAAAUAACUGCCGCAGAAGCAGUUAGCUUAGGGGAGGGCUUGGAACUUCAGCAGACUAAGAAUCAGGGUUGGGAGUGGGGGAGGGGGGUGACUGUUGGACAUCUAAUGUGGAAGCCAUGUGUGAAGUUUUAUAAGCUCUUGGAGAGCGACAGCGAUUCUGAUGAGGGUGCUAAGCUUAGUUCAUCCGCCUCAUUGACUGGACCUUCCAUGGAGCUGAGGGGCCCACAGGGUUGUGGAUGAGUUAUUGGCUGAGGAAAGGGCGGGGGCAGACCCCUCCCUGAAUGCUUCCAGGUGCAGGUCCUCCCUCUUGGAGCUCUUGGAAGGACUGGAGACACGAGUUGGUCCCCCCUCACCACCUCUGACACCUAUGGCAGAGGGCACUCUGCAAGGAAGAAGCCAUCAGUUUGGAGAGGGGAUGAAUUAAGGUCUCAUGUAGCCCAGAAUGGCCCUAUGAAGCUGAGGAUGUCUUUAACUCCACCAGGACCUCCUAUCAUCACCUCUCAAGCACUGGGAUUACAUGUGUGCAGGGGCCAUUGCCUUUAUCUCAGCUCCUAUGACAUCUUUAUCAAACAAUGAGCUCUACAUUCCAUAAACAGAAACCAGAAGGCACAUCUCUUUUUUUCCUUAUUUAUCUUUACUUU